rnacentral:rRNA from 1 species
GACGAACGCUGGCGGCGUGCUUAACACAUGCAAGUCGAACGGUAAGGCUCCAGCUUGCUGGGGUACACGAGUGGCGAACGGGUGAGUAACACGUGGGUGACCUGCCCUGCACUUCGGGAUAAGCCUGGGAAACUGGGUCUAAUACCGGAUAGGACCGCACCGUGAGGGUGUGGUGGAAAGUUUUUUCGGUGUGGGAUGGGCCCGCGGCCUAUCAGCUUGUUGGUGGGGUAAUGGCCUACCAAGGCGGCGACGGGUAGCCGGCCUGAGAGGGUGGACGGCCACAUUGGGACUGAGACACGGCCCAGACUCCUACGGGAGGCAGCAGUGGGGAAUAUUGCACAAUGGGCGGAAGCCUGAUGCAGCGACGCCGCGUGGGGGAUGACGGCCUUCGGGUUGUAAACUCCUUUCACCAUCGACGAAGGGUUUCUGACGGUAGAUGGAGAAGAAGCACCGGCUAACUACGUGCCAGCAGCCGCGGUAAUACGUAGGGUGCGAGCGUUGUCCGGAAUUACUGGGCGUAAAGAGCUCGUAGGUGGUUUGUCGCGUCGUCUGUGAAAUUCCGGGGCUUAACUCCGGGCGUGCAGGCGAUACGGGCAUAACUUGAGUACUGUAGGGGAGACUGGAAUUCCUGGUGUAGCGGUGAAAUGCGCAGAUAUCAGGAGGAACACCGGUGGCGAAAGGCGGGUCUCUGGGCAGUAACUGACGCUGAGGAGCGAAAGCAUGGGGAGCGAACAAG